UGUGCCGGGACUACGCCGGGUGAGAGCGGCGUGUGCCGCCCUGUGAAUCCGGCGGGGUGCCU
rnacentral:ncRNA from 1 species